UGCAGUCGAACGAUGAAGCUGGAGCUUGCUCCGGCCGAUUAGUGGCGAACGGGUGAGUAACACGUGAGCAAUCUGCCCUUGACUCUGGGAUAACUGCGGGAAACUGUAGCUAAUACCGGAUACUUUCCUCGCUGGGCAUCCAGCGGGGAAGAAAGAAUUUCGGUCAAGGAUGAGCUCGCGGCCUAUCAGCUAGUUGGUGAGGUAAAGGCUCACCAAGGCGACGACGGGUAGCCGGCCUGAGAGGGUGACCGGCCACACUGGAACUGAGACACGGUCCAGACUCCUACGGGAGGCAGCAGUGGGGAAUAUUGCACAAUGGGCGAAAGCCUGAUGCAGCAACGCCGCGUGAGGGAUGAAGGCCUUCGGGUUGUAAACCUCUUUUAGCAGGGAAGAAGCGAAAGUGACGGUACCUGCAGAAAAAGCACCGGCUAACUACGUGCCAGCAGCCGCGGUGAUACGUAGGGUGCAAGCGUUGUCCGGAAUUAUUGGGCGUAAAGAGCUCGUAGGCGGUUUGUCACGUCUGCUGUGAAAAUCCGAGGCUCAACCUCGGACUUGCAGUGGGUACGGGCAGGCUAGAGUGCGGUAGGGGAGAAGGGAAUUCCUGGUGUAGCGGUGGAAUGCGCAGAUAUCAGGAGGAACACCAAUGGCGAAGGCACUUCUCUGGGCCGUAACUGACGCUGAGGAGCGAAAGCGUGGGGAGCGAACAGGAUUAGAUACCCUGGUAGUCCACGCCGUAAACGGUGGGUGCUAGCUGU
rnacentral:rRNA from 1 species